UCCAUGUAUCCUGGUCCUUUUCCCAUUAUCUGAAGCAUCUCCACCACCCUUGGCCUGGAUGACAAGAGAGCUGACGAUGUAGCCAGCCUGUUGUACUGGUCCUGCUAGCAAACAGUGCCUGGAAAAUGUUUACCUGCAAACCUAAAGAGGCUUAUCACUCCUGAGACAAAACAUAAUUAUACCUGAUUAUUGGGAGUCAAUGCUGUAAUCCAUAAAAGGUUAUGACAUGUCAAGGAAAAUAUAGUUCCAUGAGCUCAAUAUGUGUACUGAGCAGAUAGUGAAGAGUCUAAGAAGGGACAUCACUACGGAACUUCUUGACCUUUCUGGAAUGAGAGGACAUCCAAUGAAGACUGUGGGUCCUGAUUCAAAGUGAAUAAAGUGAGGUUGACAACAUGA